UACGGAGGGAGCUAGCGUUAUUCGGAAUUACUGGGCGUAAAGCGUGCGCAGGCGGCUUCGCAAGUCAGGCGUGAAAUCCCCGGGCUUAACCUGGGAAUUGCGCUUGAAACUACGGUGCUGGAGUGCGGCAGAGGAAGGUGGAAUUCCACGUGUAGCGGUGAAAUGCGUAGAGAUGUGGAGGAACACCAAUGGCGAAGGCAGCCUUCUGGGUCGACACUGACGCUCAUGCACGAAAGCGUGGGGAGCAAACAGG
rnacentral:rRNA from 1 species